GACGAACGCUGGCGGCGUGCUUAACUCAUGCAAGUCGAACGGAAAGGCCCUGCUUUUGUGGGGUGCUCGAGUGGCGAACGGGUGAGUAACACGUGAGUAACCUGCCCUUGACUUUGGGAUAACUUCAGGAAACUGGGGCUAAUACCGGAUAGGAGCUCCUGCUGCAUGGUGGGGGUUGGAAAGUUUCGGCGGUUGGGGAUGGACUCGCGGCUUAUCAGCUUGUUGGUGGGGUAGUGGCUUACCAAGGCUUUGACGGGUAGCCGGCCUGAGAGGGUGACCGGCCACAUUGGGACUGAGAUACGGCCCAGACUCCUACGGGAGGCAGCAGUGGGGAAUAUUGCACAAUGGGCGGAAGCCUGAUGCAGCAACGCCGCGUGCGGGAUGACGGCCUUCGGGUUGUAAACCGCUUUCGCCUGUGACGAAGCGUGAGUGACGGUAAUGGGGAAAGAAGCACCGGCUAACUACGU
rnacentral:rRNA from 1 species